GCACCUUGAGACCAAACUUACCUUCAGGCAGCAGGGCUGGUUUUGGCCAAAUGAGUUUCGGUUCAUCUCCUCUUGGCCUCAGUUCUGCUUCCCUGCAUCCAAUGUGCAGACGAUGUGGCAGCUCCCAGGGUCUCCCUCUCCUUUCUGAGGACAAGCUACAUCAGUGUCUGACACAGAAACCAAGUUCAAAGUUACCGUUCAUUCAGUCAAAGGUGUGAUCAUCGCUAGCAUUUAGUGAGUGGUUUCUAUGAGCCAGACACCAGACGCUAGAUCAUCUAAAUUUGGCAACAACAUCUACAUUGACAGUCGAAGAAACUUGGUUCUAGACAGGUUAGGAAAGCUGCCCAAGUCACAGAGCACGUGACCUGCUGUUAGAGACCCCAUGUCCCUCACAGCACCUGGUAUAGGUGACAUAGAAACACAGGGAUGGUACAGACUGCCAAGUGGCUGCAGACCCAGAAGCCGCUAACUUGCACGUGUAAAGCAAGAACAAAGAGUGAGGCCGGUAUUCAGUAAAGUGUUAGCUUGUGUGACAUGGAUUAUAAUUGCCAUCCAAUUGAGAAACAGAGACAUUUAGGUGGCCUGGGGGGUUUCUCCCAGGAAGGCUGCUCAAGUCAAGCUGAGUGUCAGGAUGGCUGUGAUUUGGGGGGCAGAGGGCAGAUAGGACGGUUUGUGACAACAGAGAGGACUGGGGUGACUUAACUGUGGAGUACGGCCAUCAGAGUAACACAGGCAGCUGUGGUGGGCCUCAGUUAACCAAGCAGCCGGAGUCUCGGGGCUCUCGCGAGCAAGUGCAGGAGUUCAUGAGCGGCCUGGGAUGAAGGAGCCGCUCCUGAAUUGGGGCGAGGGAUGGGAUUCCAGCUGGCCGAAUGGUGUUCUAGGGAAAAAGAAUGAGUUAGAGUCAUCAGAUGAUCGGCAGAAAAAUUGUAUCUUCCAAAUCAAGGUUGCGUUCUGGCACACUGACUUCAGCUGAACUGAUGUGAAGAAAGUGCGGUUACUGUGUGUUCAUCACUGCACGCAAGCAUGGAAGUGGCUCAGUGUUUGAUAGAAAAGGCGUCACAGGGAGCGAGUGAGCUCGGUAGCUGUUCCCUAGGCGAGUGGGAAGCAGAGGGACUGGCUUUCCAGCAUCACGCCCUUGGCUGGGACUGGAAGAUGGACUCUGAGGGGCUCCCCUUUGGGGUUGUGGCGGCUCCUCCUCUCGGGAGCUUGCAUGGAACACAUCACAUCAGCAAGACUGCACUUUGGUGGUGAAGCAGUAUCAAUCCAUAGACUUCUGGACUUGGCGAGCUCUUGAUUAUGUAAAUCAAGAUUGCACCUCAAAUCAUGCCUCUGUAAAUCCUUUGUGUGUGUGGGCGGGGGGUGGGGGGAGGGUGGGAGAGGGGGAAGAGGGAGAGGGAGAGCAAAGCUUUGUGACUUAGAAGGACUGUAAAACACAGCUUUCCUUUGCUAUCAUUUUAGUAAUCCCCUGGUAUGAAGGUGAGUUAUGUAUGUCCCUUCUGGGCAGCUACGGAGGGGCAGACGACUGAGCUAACACGACCAAGAUUCGUGAUUCUCAGUAGGUACCAUCUGAGUCACCCUAAGUCUUGUUUAUAAGCAGAGUUUUGGUGUAGAUGUGUCUAAAAGCUUGAUAGGUCAGUAACAAAUGCAUGGGGAAGGAGAUACUACUUUUACUGGGUUUUCUUUCAGAUUCACAAUUGAGAAGAGUUAUUUAGAUUAGAUACUGGCCCAUGAGCUGUGUUAAUAUGAAACCAUGUUAAAAUCCUGAAAUCAACCAUCAACCUAACAACCAUUCAUUGUGUCUAGUUUGACCAGGUUACUAGUCUGGAAUAUCUAUUGUCAGUUUGGCUUCCUCCUUCCAGAAGAAGGGGUCAUGCUUUGAACUUGGAAUAUUUUGGGGUUGUAACAAGGCUUAAAUGUGAAUUUUGUUUCUAUUUUCCUCUCUGCCUGUGUCUCUCGCCCUCUCUCCUACCCUCCUGGUUGUAAUUUCAGCAGCCCUACGUUCUCAACAUCAAACAGAGGUUAAGGACCGUGUUAUUUAAACAAGAUGAGUGCAUUCGAUAAUGACCGAGUAAGGAAAGUGGAGGAGGAAGAAAGCAGGGGCGGACGGCAACUCCCAACAGCAGGGCAAGGGGAAAAAUGUCUCACCAGUGCCACAUUCAUAGGUCCACUCUGUAAAAAUACUGCUGUCAUAACAUUAUAAUUCAUCUCCUUAAAUUUUUAUGUUUCCCACUUUGGAAAACAACUAUGUCUAGUAUAUAAUUUUACCCUUUUAUUAUGACAUUUGAGAAAGUAGCCAAGACUGGUUAGGUUUAAUUACCCCCAUCAAGUUAUUUUAGAUGUCAGUUUCUACAAGUCAUUCACGAAGGGGCAGAUGGUAGAAGCCUGUUAUUCCAGAAUGGCCAGGCUCAGGGAGAGCUAGAGAAAAACAGUGACUCUCUUCUUGGAUGUUUGUGGUGUUGAGAAAACAUACCCUGAAUGUUUGCUUUGGUGAUCUCAUUGUAUGAUUUUAGAAGAGCCAUCAGCUGAUGUGUUUUGUCUGUCUCUUUAAAUACUCUUAAGAAUGUGGCCCAACUGCAUGUUUUCAAUCAGAGAUAAUCAAAUAAUGAGAGCUGUAGUUGUUUUGAAUUUGCCAUUUGCUGCUGUUAGUUUCUUCAUGGUACUGUCUUGAACUUGGGUUUGAAAUGUUAAUGUAUUCUGAUUCCAUGACCUCAUCUGCAUGUGGCAGAUGGAGAAAUGGAAUUUGUACUCUUUGAAAAUCUGCAUUCCUCAGUGUUCUAAGUUUAGGUAAUGAUACAUCUCUGGACUGUGUCUGUGUUCAGAAUGUACUGCAUUUGGUCAUCUCUGGUCACUAGCACAAACCUUUAAUUACUGCCUAAAUAUAGACACGUAUUUUUUUUUU